GGAAGGGGCCUGGCCGAGCGCGCACCUGCACACGUGCGCCGGAAGGCGGGAGGUCAUUCCGCGGCCCAGCUGGUUUGUUUUCAACAAUACGAUCAAAGCCACACGCCCACCGGUAUUUACGCCGUCAGCCAGCGCCGGCACUCGGAGGGAGGAAGGAAGCACCUAAGGCGCUGGGGGCGGAAACACUGAGGAGGAGGACUGCGCCUCAGGCGAGAGUUGGCCGGCGCCGACCGGGCCUGGGGCAGGGGCCGCAGCUCCCCCCCUGGGACCGCGCACAAAGGCCCGAAGUCCGGGCCGCACUCACCGAAGUCCAGGAACUGCUUCAUGGAGAGCGGGGACGGUGAGAAGCGCGCGUAGAAGUCCACCUGGCCCGGAACGCCGCGCUCGGACGCCGGGCCAAAGCCCGAGUCCGAGCUGAAGGUGCAGCUGGGGCCGGCGGCGCGCAGCCCCGGGCCCGGGACUGCCAAGGCGGCUCCACGAAGCAGCCGCGCCAGCCUCAUGCCGAGCCGCGCUAGAGAAACCAGAGCCCGGACGCCACGUUUCUCCGCGCCUCCGCCGAGUGCAUGGUAUCGGGGAACACUGUCAUCGUACCUAGAGCGUUUGAAGAAUCCACACUGGAGAAGAGGGAAAAAGAAAGAGAAACCAAUUAAUCUCACAAAGAAGCAAGUGCAGUAAAUGGGAAUGUCUAAGCUUUCUGUUCAGCUAUGUCUACCUCUGGACUACGGGGAAAAAGACAUGGUUUUCUUAAGAAAGAACUGAGAGGUUGAAAUGAAAGAACAGCCAGUGGGGAUCAACGGAAGAGAACUGCUGUAAAACUGGAAGAAACGUCCAUUUUCAUCUUCUCUUUACAUUUUAUAACAAAUGUAGGCUACCUCUUUACUAACAAUUUAAGACUUUAUGAAAACAGUGCUUCCAUAUUUUAAAAUAAUCACUAUAUGUAAAAGAUCUAAUUAUCAGAUUAGAAUAUCAUUUUAAGAAUAAUUUUUAAAAGGCAUAAACCAAAGAUUAUUUCAUGCCCCUCUCCCACUAAUAAAAUGCAAAUCAUGUCACAAGUAUUUUACUAAUUACUAUUUGAAUAUGCCAGAGUUCCAACAGGUCAAUUUAAUAAUCUUUUUCUCUCCUCUGAGGCUCUAGUACACGUAUCACUCCUCUCAUUAGCUAGGAUGUAAUUUAUGUUGCCUGGAUUUGCUGUUGUGCUUCUAAUUAAGCUAUUUCAUUAAUAAAUCACAUAGUAACUGUUUCCUGCAAUAAAAAUCAUAUGCUGCAUAGGACUUGAGAAGUGUAUCACUACAGUGAAUUGCAGAGCAGUCCCUAAUUUUUCUUCUUUAAAUUGUUAAUGUGUAAGAUGUGUGUGUAUAUAUAUCAUUUAAAUAUUCAAUCUGAUCCAAAGUAUAUUUUUACUGAGAAUAUAUCUGAAAAAAAUUGAGAUUAAAUUUUUAAUGAAAUAUACUACUUUUCAUGAAAUGAAAACAUUUAAUGAAAUAUAUUUACUUUUAAAAAAGGUGUGUGACUAAAAUGCAGUUUUGAAGAAUGAGAAAUAGUUAUUAAUAGAAUGGUUGAUUAAUGUGUUUAUUAUGUGACAACAGUAACAGGACUUUUACGCUGAAUGAUGUUAUAAAAAUGCCAUGGAGCAAGAUAAAAUUAUAUGCAUAGUUAUCACUAAAUCAAUAGGCAAAAUUUUUGGACCAAAUGUUUUGUUCCAGGUCAUUUCUACAUGGAUUGAUUUAUUAUUCUGUGCAAAAAAAAAAAGCCAAAGUACCUGUUACAAAAUAUGACUGCUGCCUACCCCAUUUAAACAAAGAGGGAAAUUAAAGGUGAUAUGUAAA